rnacentral:rRNA from 1 species
UACGUAGGUUGCAAGCGUUACUCGGAUUUACUAGGCGUAAAGCGUAUGUAGGCGGUUAGGUAAGUCUGUGGUGAAAUCUCCCGGCUCAACUGGGAGGGGUCCACGGAAACUGCCUGGCUUGAGUGUGGCAGAGGGAGACGGAAUUCCUGGUGUAGCGGUGAAAUGCGUAGAUAUCAGGAGGAACACCAAUGGCGAAAGCAGUCUCCUGGGCCAAUACUGACGCUCAGAUACGAAAGCUAGGGGAG